CGCAGGAAAAAACGCUAACGAACAACUCAAAACCACUGUAUUCUUCUAUUUUUUCGCUCUCUGUGUCGGCUACGCUACACACAGACCUGUUGCCAUAGCAGCUGACUGACAA